AUUGAACGCUGGCGGCAUGCUUUACACAUGCAAGUCGAACGGUAACAGGGAGCUUGCUCCGCUGACGAGUGGCGAACGGGUGAGUAAUGCGUCGGAACGUGCCGAGUAGUGGGGGAUAACGCAUCGAAAGGUGUGCUAAUACCGCAUACGAACUGAGGUUGAAAGUGGGGGACCUUCGGGCCUCACGCUAUUCGAGCGGCCGACGUCUGAUUAGCUAGUUGGUGGAGUAAAGGCUCACCAAGGCGACGAUCAGUAGCGGGUCUGAGAGGAUGAUCCGCCACACUGGGACUGAGACACGGCCCAGACUCCUACGGGAGGCAGCAGUGGGGAAUUUUGGACAAUGGGCGCAAGCCUGAUCCAGCCAUGCCGCGUGUCUGAAGAAGGCCUUCGGGUUGUAAAGGACUUUUGUCCGGGAGCAAAUGCUGGUGGCUAACAUCCACCGGAGCUGAGAGUACCGGAAGAAUAAGCACCGGCUAACUACGUGCCAGCCGCCGCAGUAAGAC
rnacentral:rRNA from 1 species